AAAUUGAAGAGUUUGAUCAUGGCUCAGAUUGAACGCUGGCGGCAGGCCUAACACAUGCAAGUCGAACGGUAACAGGAAGCAGCUUGCUGCUUCGCUGACGAGUGGCGGACGGGUGAGUAAUGUCUGGGAAACUGCCUGAUGGAGGGGGAUAACUACUGGAAACGGUGGCUAAUACCGCAUAACGUCGCAAGACCAAAGAGGGGGACCUUCGGGCCUCUUGCCAUCAGAUGUGCCCAGAUGGGAUUAGCUGGUUGGUGAGGUAACGGCUCACCAAGGCGACGAUCCCUAGCUGGUCUGAGAGGAUGACCAGCCACACUGGAACUGAGACACGGUCCAGACUCCUACGGGAGGCAGCAGUGGGGAAUAUUGCACAAUGGGCGCAAGCCUGAUGCAGCCAUGCCGCGUGUAUGAAGAAGGCCUUCGGGUUGUAAAGUACUUUCAGCGGGGAGGAAGGUGUUGUGGUUAAUAACUGCAGCAAUUGACGUUACCCGCAGAAGAAGCACCGGCUAACUCCGUGCCAGCAGCCGCGGUAAUACGGAGGGUGCAAGCGUUAAUCGGAAUUACUGGGCGUAAAGCGCACGCAGGCGGUCUGUCAAGUCGGAUGUGAAAUCCCCGGGCUCAAC
rnacentral:rRNA from 1 species